rnacentral:lncRNA from 1 species
CGGUACUUGUCUAUCCCAAAUUCACGUAUUUGGUUUUGAUGUUAUAUUUGUUAUUCUCGGGGGAAUUUUUCUGAUGCUUGGUCCAUUUCUGUGUGUGUUACAUUGUAGUGUUGUGUCGUUGUUCUCCUCUUAUAUUUAAUACGUUUUCCUCAGUUUUAGUUUGUUACCCCGAUUUUGUUUUUUGUCCAUGGAUUUAUGAGUUUGAACAGCGGUAUACUACUGUUGCCUUUAUUUAUCA